AAGCUCGUAGUUGAAUUUCGGGAUUAGUACGUCGGUCGUGCCUUAGGUACGUACUGGUGUUACUGGUUCCUACCUUCUAACGAACCAUCAUGUCAUUAAUUUGGUGUGGUGGGGAAUCAGGACUGUUACUUUGAAAAAAUUAGAGUGUUUAAAGCAGGCUCGCGCUUGAAUACAUUAGCAUGGAAUAAUGAAAUAGGACGUUGAUCCUAUUUUGUUGGUUUCUAGGAUUGACGUAAUGAUUAAUAGGGAUAGUUGGG
rnacentral:rRNA from 1 species